AGUCGAACGAUGAAGCCCCUUCGGGGGUGGAUUAGUGGCGAACGGGUGAGUAACACGUGGGCAAUCUGCCCUGCACUCUGGGACAAGCCCUGGAAACGGGGUCUAAUACCGGAUACGACCAUCUGAGGCAUCUCAUGGGGGUGGAAAGCUCCGGCGGUGCAGGAUGAGCCCGCGGCCUAUCAGCUUGUUGGUGAGGUAACGGCUCACCAAGGCGACGACGGGUAGCCGGCCUGAGAGGGCGACCGGCCAAACUGGGACUGAGACACGGCCCAGACUCCUACGGGAGGCAGCAGUGGGGAAUAUUGCACAAUGGGCGCAAGCCUGAUGCAGCGACGCCGCGUGAGGGAUGACGGCCUUCGGGUUGUAAACCUCUUUCAGCAGGGAAGAAGCGUAAGUGACGGUACCUGCAGAAGAAGCGCCGGCUAACUACGUGCCAGCAGCCGCGGGUAAUUCA
rnacentral:rRNA from 1 species